CUCUGCCUAGUGUGAUGGCCUUUGCUGACAGGGAAUCAGGACAAAGAGGCAGGAAGGUGGAAUUUUAUGGGGACUGAGAGCAGGUCCUACCUCCUGCCUCUUCUUAGCACUGUGACAUGUACCACUUGUGUGACAUCUCUUGAAACCUCAGCUUCGUCAUCAGAAAAACAGGCAGAGCAGUGGUCCCCUUCCCCUGGUGUGUUUUAGGACUCUUCAUGAUCGCGCAGGUGAAUCACUUGCACCAGGCUUCACCCACUUACGUGCUCACAGACUCAAGUGUCAGUGUUGUGCAGGAGCAACCCAAGAGACUGGUUUUCAGAAUAGAGAGUGUUUCUCUCCUGGAACGCAGCUAGAGAGCCAGUGGGUGACAAGCAAUAGGCCCCCCCGGGGAUUUCAGGAUCUGCUUCUCCCCAGGGUGACUCAGAACUGUGGGCAGGGGUUAGGAUGGCACCCCUGUGAGGCCUGUCCCCUGGCUUCCUGGAAUGAGCAUGUAGGUUGAACUUACUUGUAACAAAUGGGGCAGUGGCAGAAGCAAUGGGUGCCUUCCUAGGCUGGAUCAUAGCUUGGAUCAAUUGCUCUGGGGAAGUUGGCUGCCAACUUGAGGGGACACCCAGGCAGCUUUAUGGACAAUCCCAUAUGGCUGGAAACGGAGACCUCCUGCUGACAACCACCAUGAAAGAAGGCUGUCUGUCAACCAUCAGGAGGGGAAACCUUCCUGGAAACAGACCCCGCAGGCCAACAAGCCUUCAAAUGCCUGUAACACCAGCUGACAUCUUGACCACAACUUUGUGGAAGACCCUGAGCCAGAAGCACCAGAGAAGGCUUGCUGAGUUUGUGACCUACCCAAACUGUGACACAAAUGAUGUGCAUUGUUUUAAGCCCCUGAGUUGGGGAGUUAGUUCUUAUGCAGCAGCAGAUAACCAAAGCACCAGUCUUCCUUUAUCCUUGGAUAAUGAAUUCCAAGAUCCGCAGUGAUGCCUGAAACCACAGAUAAUACCAAACUCUAUAUAAACUAUGUGUUUUUCCUAUUCAGACAUUUAUGAUUUAUUUUUCUUUCCUUAUUAAGUCAUGAAUUUAUGCCUUUUCAUUUAAAGGAAGCAUUUUAUACUUCUUUGGGGCAUCUCCAAAUGGCCAGCAUCAUGACUUUUAUGCAUUGAGGUCAUUAUUAAAUAAAGUAAGGGUUAUUUGACCACAAUACUGCAUUGUAACAGUCAUUCUGUAACUGAUGUGGCAAAGUAACUCAUGGGUAGGUAGCAUAUACAAUGUGGAUACUCUGGACCAAGAGAAGAUUUGUGUCCCAAGUUCUUCAUGCUACUCAGAAUGGCAUACAAUUUUUAAUGUUAGAGUUCUUUUUUUUUUUCUGGAAUUUUCCAUGUGGUAUUUUUUUUGGACUCUGACUGAUUGCAGAUAA
rnacentral:lncRNA from 1 species